rnacentral:misc_RNA from 1 species
AUACUUGUCAUGUUAGUUCCUAGUUCUUCUCCUGCGUUUCCAUGAAAUUCAUUUUUGUACGACAACAGAAAUGCUACCCAUAACAAAAUUGAAUUCACAGAUUCUUCUCGCAGAACCCCUUAAGGAAAGGGAACAAUUCAGCAAUAUUUCAUAUACAAAACAAUACAGAGGACCAGAAUCCAAAAUGCGCAACUAAAUGAAAUUGAGGAUAAGGCAGCAAUUCCUCUAACCAAGCAAAUAACUACGAAUCAGCCAAGAAAAGAGAAAGCUA